rnacentral:rRNA from 1 species
AUUGAACGCUGGCGGCAGGCUUAACACAUGCAAGUCGAACGGUAACAGGUAUCUGCUUGCUGCUUCGCUGACGAGUGGCGGACGGGUGAGUAAUGUCUGGGAAACUGCCUGUUGGAGGGGGUUAACUACUGGAAACGGUAGCUAAUACCGCAUAACGUCCCCAGAACAAAGAGGAGGACCUUAGGGCCUCUUGCCAUCGGCUGUGCCCAUAUGGGAUUCGCUAGUAGGUGGGGUAACGGCUCACCUAGGCGACGAUCCCUAGCUGGUCUGAGUGGAUGACCAGCCACACUGGAACUGAGACACGGUCCAGACUCCGACGGGAGGCAGCGGUGGAGAAUAUUGCAGGAUGGGGGCAAGCCUGAUGCAGCCAUGCCGCGUGUAUGAAGAAGGCCUUCGGGUUGUAGAAUGCUUUCGGCGGGGAGGAAGGGAGUAAAGUUAAUACCUGUGCUCAUUGACGUUACCCGCAGAAGAAGCGCCGGCUAACUCCGUG